rnacentral:tRNA from 1 species
UCCUUGGUGGUCCAGUGGUUAGGGCUUAGUGCUUUCACCACCGAAGCCUAGGUUUAAUCCCUGGUGAGGGAA